rnacentral:lncRNA from 14 species
CUGCAAAAGGUGAUCAAUGAAACAGAGGCUCUCUUGCCCCCAUCUCAAAUAUAUAAUCUUAAAAAUAAGCAAGCAGUAGCAACAGCACUGCAACCCCUGGCUACCCACAAAUGGCACUGUGUCUAUUUGAAAGGCUAGUUAAAGGGGUUGAAUUCUGUACAGAGUCUUGAUGUUACCUGUUAACAUUCAUCAGCAAUAAUUGAGUCUAAACAGAGCAUAGGUACUGGGAAAGUGAAUACAAGUCACCUCCACUAGAGAAGACUAGACAUCAGACCUCAGAGCUGAACAGCUGUUGAAUGAUGGCUUCUGGAAGCACAGCAAAUGGCUUGGAUUAAGACCUGGCUACAAAUUUACAAGCUCAAGUUACUGUUGAAGCACAGCAAGUUGGUGUCCCUGCACACUUACAAGAAUCAAAUUUCUUUAAGAGCUUUUUGGCUUAUCCCUGAAGGGUAUCACUUGUUUUCUCUGCACCAGUAUUUGCACUACACUGUGGGCAACACCUCGAAGAAACACAGUAUAGGAGAUAUCUUGCUGCCUGACCUCCUAUGGGAAGAUUUUGCAGAUAGGUCCAGCAUCAUGCCCACUAGCCAAAAGGAACUCUGAUCUUCAGUUUUUGAUUUGAAAACAGGGUGAAAACUCUUAUUGGCCUGCAUCUAAAGUAGAAGUAGUAGAAGAGUAAUGGACAAGGAAUGAUUCCCACACUCUACUAGAGCCUUUGUAGGCUCCGUAAAAGAAGUAGACCAGAAGGGGAAACAAUCACAUAAAACAGUUUAGCUUUCUAUAAAAACUGCUGGGUAAAUAUUUUUCUGAAAUCCUAAAUUAGGUAAGUACUUAUUGUUCUUUGACAUAUUGUGUAGUAAAAUAAUUUUGUCCCCUUGAACCAUCUUUAUAUUGCUAUAAUAGUAUGUGUUGUACCUUUUGAAGAUAAAUGCAUUAACAUUUAUUAAUAGUAGUUGUCACAGGAAAACUCUCACUGAGAUAUCACCUCUUGUCAUAGAAUAAAUCUGGAACAGAAUGUUAUUGAAAGGAUUUU